GUACAUAUAUAUAUAUAUAUAUGAACGUAUUAAUAAAUUAGGUGGGAGGAAGUGACCUCCUCCGCCCAAAUAAAAAUACUUAAAGGGCACUUGAAUCUGGAUCUCAGAAAAUGAAUAAUUUCUUAGUAUAAACGUCCUGUGCACCAUUUGGUUGGGACAAGUAAGUUCCUCUUCAGAAACUCAACUUCCAGGUCUAAAGUUGUCAAUCAACCUUACCCCCUUCUUCUUUCCUCGCAGGUGGCGCGUUUACCCUAUUUUAAAAAAGUUUUAAGUUUUAGCCAACCGGGAUCAGCUUAGAUUGUGGGCGUCCAACCCCAGCCAACAGGGAAAGGACAGAGGAACAGAAGCUCCCUUCCUUUGUCCCGUGUGCUCUGGAGAUUGCAUCCCACGCAGGCAGCCCCCUUCCGUACAAGAGAGGCUGGCGGUUACCUUUCUUGGGGAGACGCGUCCGACUGCUUCAUUGUGGGGGCCUCAGGAGCGGAGGAUCGGGUCCCGCCCGAGGUGACGCGUAAACCCAGACUCUCAGCAACGCGGGUAGGAAGGACCCUUGAAGUUCCGCGGCGACCACGGCCUCCACCCCUCGAAUUCCCAGUUCACCGACACCAGCCUGGGGAUCACCUCCUUGUCAGAAGUUGGAAAGAGGAAAAACUCAGCCAACCUGGGAAGGACUUUAUCGGGUGCUCCUGACCACCAAGAUGACGGUCGGAAAGGGCCCCAUCCCUGGAGGGAUCUUGGACCUUCACUCCAGGAUCAACGCCUUCCAAAUUAACAUUCAAAAAGGUUUAAUCUGUCUCUUCCUUCUCCCUGUAGCCGCCCAAGGACGUCUUAUUAUCAAUAUAAGGUGAUCACCCUUUCCCCAGCUAGUUUCGUUUGAUGCCUGUCUGGUUCAUAUACCCCGUAAAGAUAUCCACAGCCAAAGACAGCCUCUUCUGAAGAAAAUCCUUGGCCCAGCCCUUGUAGUAACCGGUACCCUGGGGUGCCAUUCCCUGUUGAAAUUCGCUCAGGAUGGUGGCAGAAAUAUUAAAGGGAAACAUUAGGUAAAGUUAGAGAAAAUAGUCACAAACCGGCCGGGCGUGGUGGCUCACGCCUGUCAUCCUAGCACUUCGGGAGGCCGAGGCAGGAGGAUCACGAGGUCAGGAGAUCGAGACAAUCCCGGCUAACAUGGUGAAACCCCGUCUCUACUAAAAAUACAAAAAAUUAGCCGGGCGUGGUGGCGGGCGCCUGUAAUCUCAGCUACUUGGGAGGCUGAGGCAGGAGAAUUGCUUGAACCUGGGAGGCGGAGGUUGCAGUGAGCCAAGAUCACGCCAUUGCACUCCAGCCUGGGCUACAAGAGCG
rnacentral:lncRNA from 1 species